GCCCUCGUAGUUUAACGGAUAGAACGCAAGAUUGCGGAUCUUGCAAUAGGGGUUCGAUUCCUCUCGAGGGCACAA
rnacentral:tRNA from 2 species